AUUGAACGCUGGCGGCAGGCCUAACACAUGCAAGUCGAACGAGUGGCGGACGGGUGAGUAAUGUCUGGGAAACUGCCCGAUGGAGGGGGACGACUACUGGAAACGGUAGCUAAUACCGCAUACCAUCGGAGGUGCCCAGAUGGGAUUGGCUAGGAGGUGGGGUAACGUCUCACCUAGGCGACGAUCCCUAUCUGGGCUGAGAGGAUGACCAGCCACACUGGAACUGAGCCACGGUCCAGACUCCAACGGUAGGCAGCAGUGGGAAAUAUUGCACAAUGGGCGCAAUCCUGAUGCAGCCAUGCCGCGUGUAUGAAGAAGGCCUUCGGGUUGUAAAGUACUUUCAGCGGGGAGGCGGUACUCGCAGAAGAAGCACCGGCUAACUCCGUGCCAGCAGCCGCGGUAAUAG
rnacentral:rRNA from 1 species